rnacentral:rRNA from 1 species
UACGAAGGGAGCUAGCGUUGUUCGGAAUUACUGGGCGUAAAGGGCGUGUAGGCGGUUCCAUAAGUCAGAUGUGAAAGCCCUAGGCUUAACCUAGGAGGUGCAUUUGAUACUGUGGAACUAGAGAUCGAGAGAGGAAAGUGGAAUUACGAGUGUAGAGGUGAAAUUCGUAGAUAUUCGUAAGAACACCAGUGGCGAAGGCGACUUUCUGGCUCGAUACUGACGCUAAGGCGCGAAAGCGUGGGGAGCAAACAGG